rnacentral:snRNA from 14 species
UAAAUUACAAUGUUGUAGUUAGCUAUAUAUCAAAAAAUAUAGCAACUAAGGUGGAGCAAGUCAUUGUACUAAAGAUGUUUGUAAUACCUUGAUGUUCCCGCUGGGAGCAAUAACAACAAAAUUUCUGAUUGGAAAUAGUCAUUAAACUAACUGGCUAUUUC